rnacentral:rRNA from 1 species
GUCCACGCCGUAAACGAUGGAUGCUAGCCGUUAGGCAGCUUGCUGCUUAGUGGCGCAGCUAACGCUUUAAGCAUCCCGCCUGGGGAGUACGGUCGCAAGAUUAAAACUCAAAGGAAUUGACGGGGGGCCCGCACAAGCGGUGGAGCAUGUGGUUUUAAUUCGAAGCAACGCGCAGAACCUUACCAGCUUUUGACAUGUCCUGGACGGUUUCCAGAGAUGGAUUCUUCCUUCGGGGUCAGGAACACAGGUGCUGCAUGGCUGUCGU